rnacentral:misc_RNA from 1 species
AAGUCGUAACAAGGUCUCCGUAGGUGAACCUGCGGAGGGAUCAUUAACACGUUUCUAACGUAUCCACUAUCAACCAACCGCGAACGAGUGAGAGCUCUACGUUAUGUUUAAUUACACAACGUAGUUCUUUCCAAUCUCCCUGUCACUCAAUAUUGUAUCAAGGAACUAGUAAUGGGUUUUAUAUUGUCUUACGACAUAUAAAUCGGUUUCUUAAUACUAACAGGUCAACUGUAAAAUAUUGAACUGAUGGGCUUAAUUAAACUUUUCAUUACAGGUUGAAACCAAACCGUUUCACCCCAUUUAACGACAUCGGACUGAUUACUUACUACUAAGAAAUUUUUAGUAAGCCAAAACAAAGUGAAUAACUUUGAUAUUCUAACUAAUAGCACAACUCUUAGCAACGGAUAUCUUGGUUCUC